CCUACGGGGGGCUGCAGUGGGGAAUAUUGGACAAUGGGGGGAACCCUGAUCCAGCCAUGCCGCGUGUGUGAAGAAGGCCCUCGGGUUGUAAAGCACUUUCAGUGAGGAAGAACGCCUGGUGGUUAAUACCCAUCAGGAAAGACAUCACUCACAGAAGAAGCACCGGCUAACUCCGUGCCAGCAGCCGCGGUAAUACGGAGGGUGCGAGCGUUAAUCGGAAUUACUGGGCGUAAAGCGCGCGUAGGUGGCUUGAUAAGCCGGUUGUGAAAGCCCCGGACUCAACCUGGGAACGGCAUCCGGAACUGUCAAGCUAGAGUGCAGGAGAGGAAGGUAGAAUUCCCGGUGUAGCGGUGAAAUGCGUAGAGAUCGGGAGGAAUACCAGUGGCGAAGGCGGCCUUCUGGACUGACACUGACACUGAGGUGCGAAAGCGUGGGUAGCAAACAGGAUUAGAUACCCUAGUAGUC
rnacentral:rRNA from 1 species